AUUGAACGCUGGCGGCAGGCCUAACACAUGCAAGUCGAGCGGAUGAAGGGAGCUUGCUCCUGGAUUCAGCGGCGGACGGGUGAGUAAUGCCUAGGAAUCUGCCUGGUAGUGGGGGAUAACGUCCGGAAACGGGCGCUAAUACCGCAUACGUCCUGAGGGAGAAAGUGGGGGAUCUUCGGACCUCACGCUAUCAGAUGAUCCUAGGUCGGAUUAGCUAGUUGGUGGGGUAAAGGCCUACCAAGGCGACGAUCCGUCACUGGUCUGAGAGGAUGAUCAGUCACACUGGAACUGAGACACGGUCCAGACUCCUACGGGAGGCAGCAGUGGGGAAUAUUGGACAAUGGGCGAAAGCCUGAUCCAGCCAUGCCGCGUGUGUGAAGAAGGUCUUCGGAUUGUAAAGCACUUUAAGUUGGGAGGAAGGGCAGUAAGUUAAUACCUUGCUGUUUUGACGUUACCAAAAGAAUAAGCACCGGCUAACUUCGUG
rnacentral:rRNA from 1 species